rnacentral:rRNA from 1 species
UACGGAGGGGGCGAGCGUUGUCCGAAGUUACUGGGCGUAAAGCGCGCGUAGGCGGGAGGCCAAGUCCGCUGUGAAAGUCCAGGGCUCAACCCUGGAAUGCCGGUGGAUACUGUCGGGCUCGAAUCCGGAAGAGGUGAGUGGAAUUCCUGGUGUAGCGGUGAAAUGCGCAGAUAUCAGGAGGAACACCAAUGGCGAAGGCGGCUCACUGGUCCGGUACUGACGCUGAGGUGCGAAAGCGUGGGGAGCAAACAGG